CAGUAGCCGCGGGAAUACGAAGGGGGCUAGCGUUGCUCGGAAUCACUGGGCGUAAAGGGUGCGUAGGCGGGUCUUUAAGUCAGGGGUGAAAUCCUGGAGCUCAACUCCAGAACUGCCUUUGAUACUGAAGAUCUUGAGUUCGGGAGAGGUGAGUGGAACUGCGAGUGUAGAGGUGAAAUUCGUAGAUAUUCGCAAGAACACCAGUGGCGAAGGCGGCUCACUGGCCCGAUACUGACGCUGAGGCACGAAAGCGUGGGGAGCAAACAGGAUUAGAUACUCCGGUAGUCCCUGUCUCUUAUAC
rnacentral:rRNA from 1 species